rnacentral:rRNA from 1 species
CCUACGGGUGGCUGCAGUGGGGAAUAUUGCGCAAUGGGCGCAAGCCUGACCCAGCAACGCCGCGUGAAGGAAGAAGGCUUUCGGGUUGUAAACUUCUUUUCUCAGGGACGAAGCAAGUGACGGUACCUGAGGUAUAAGCCACGGCUAACUACGUGCCAGCAGCAGCGGCAAAACGUAGGUGGCAAGAGUUAUCCGGAUUUACUGGGUGUAAAGGGCGUGUAGGCGGGGAGGCAAGUCAGAUGUGAAAACCAUGGGGUCAACCCGUGGCCUGGCUUUGAAACUGUGUUUCUUGAGUACGGGAGAGGCAGACGGAAUUCCUGGUGUAGCGGUGAAAUGCGUAGAUAUUAGGAGGAACACCAGUGGCGAAGGCGGUCUGCUGGACAGCAACUGACGCUGAGGCGCGAAAGCGUGGGGAGCAAACAGGAUUAGAUACCCCAGUAGUC